rnacentral:rRNA from 1 species
AACGCUAGCUACAGGCUUAACACAUGCAAGUCGAGGGGCAGCGCAGUGUAGCAAUACAUGGGCGGCGACCGGCGCACGGGUGCGUAACGCGUAUCCAACCUUCCCGUUACUCUUGGAUAGCCUUCCGAAAGGGAGAUUAAUACAGGAUGGUGUUCAAAUUCCGCAUGUUAUUUGAACUAAAGAUUUAUCGGUAACGGAUGGGGAUGCGUGACACUAGAUAGUAGGCGGGGUAACGGCCCACCUAGUCUACGAUGUCUAGGGGUUCUGAGAGGAAGGUCCCCCACACUGGAACUGAGACACGGUCCAGACUCCUACGGGAGGCAGCAGUGAGGAAUAUUGGUCAAUGGUCGGAAGACUGAACCAGCCAAGUAGCGUGAAGGAUGAAGGUUCUAUGGAUUGUGAACUUCUUUUAUACGGGAAUAAAACCACCUACGUGUAGGUGCUUGUAUGUACCGUAUGAAUAAGCAUCGGCUAACUCCGUGCCAGCAGCCGCGGUAAUACGGAGGAUGCGAGCGUUAUCCGGAUUUAUUGGGUUUAAAGGGAGCGUAGACGGGGGAUUAAGUCAGUUGUGAAAGGCUGCGGCUCAACCGCAGCACUGCAGUUGAUACUGGUUCCCUUGAGUUCGGUUGAGGUAUGUGGAAUUCGUGGUGUAGCGGUGAAAUGCUUAGAUAUCACGAAGAACUCCGAUUG